rnacentral:rRNA from 1 species
UACAGAGGUCUCGAGCGUUGUUCGGAUUCAUUGGGCGUAAAGCGCACGUAGGCGGCUUUGUAAGUUAGAGGUGAAAGCCCGGGGCUCAACUCCGGAAUUGCCUUUAAGACUGCAUCGCUAGAAUUGUGGAGAGGUAAGUGGAAUUCCGAGUGUAGAGGUGAAAUUCGUAGAUAUUCGGAAGAACACCAGUGGCGAAGGCGACUUACUGGACACAUAUUGACGCUGAGGUGCGAAAGCGUGGGGAGCAAACAGG